rnacentral:rRNA from 1 species
AGAGUUUGAUCAUGGCUCAGAUUGAACGCUGGCGGCAGGCCUAACACAUGCAAGUCGAACGGUAACAGGAAGCAGCUUGCUGCUUUGCUGACGAGUGGCGGACGGGUGAGUAAUGUCUGGGAAACUGCCUGAUGGAGGGGGAUAACUACUGGAAACGGUGGCUAAUACCGCAUAACGUCGCAAGACCAAAGAGGGGGACCUUCGGGCCUCUUGCCAUCAGAUGUGCCCAGAUGGGAUUAGCUAGUUGGUGAGGUAACGGCUCACCAAGGCGACGAUCCCUAGCUGGUCUGAGAGGAUGACCAGCCACACUGGAACUGAGACACGGUCCAGACUCCUACGGGAGGCAGCAGUGGGGAAUAUUGCACAAUGGGCGCAAGCCUGAUGCAGCCAUGCCGCGUGUAUGAAGAAGGCCUUCGGGUUGUAAAGUACUUUCAGCGGGGAGGAAGGUGUUGUGGUUAAUAACCGCAGCAAUUGACGUUACCCGCAGAAGAAGCACCGGCUAACUCCGUGCCAGCAGCCGCGGUAAUACGGAGGGUGCAAGCGUUAAUCGGAAUUACUGGGCGUAAAGCGCACGCAGGCGGUCUGUCAAGUCGGAUGUGAAAUCCCCGGGCUCAACCUGGGAACUGCAUUUGAAACUGGCAGGCUUGAGUCUUGUAGAGGGGGGUAGAAUUCCAGGUGUAGCGGUGAAAUGCGUAGAGAUCUGGAGGAAUACCGGUGGCGAAGGCGGCCCCCUGGACAAAGACUGACGCUCAGGUGCGAAAGCGUGGGGAGCAAACAGGAUUAGAUACCCUGGUAGUCCACGCCGUAAACGAUGUCUACUUGGAGGUUGUGCCCUUGAGGCGUGGCUUCCGGAGCUAACGCGUUAAGUAGACCGCCUGGGGAGUACGGCCGCAAGGUUAAAACUCAAAUGAAUUGACGGGGGCCCGCACAAGCGGUGGAGCAUGUGGUUUAAUUCGAUGCAACGCGAAGAACCUUACCUGGUCUUGACAUCCACGGAAGUUUUCAGAGAUGAGAAUGUGCCUUCGGGAACCGUGAGACAGGUGCUGCAUGGCUGUCGUCAGCUCGUGUUGUGAAAUGUUGGGUUAAGUCCCGCAACGAGCGCAACCCUUAUCCUUUGUUGCCAGCGGUCCGGCCGGGAACUCAAAGGAGACUGCCAGUGAUAAACUGGAGGAAGGUGGGGAUGACGUCAAGUCAUCAUGGCCCUUACGACCAGGGCUACACACGUGCUACAAUGGCGCAUACAAAGAGAAGCGACCUCGCGAGAGCAAGCGGACCUCAUAAAGUGCGUCGUAGUCCGGAUUGGAGUCUGCAACUCGACUCCAUGAAGUCGGAAUCGCUAGUAAUCGUGGAUCAGAAUGCCACGGUGAAUACGUUCCCGGGCCUUGUACACACCGCCCGUCACACCAUGGGAGUGGGUUGCAAAAGAAGUAGGUAGCUUAACCUUCGGGAGGGCGCUUACCACUUUGUGAUUCAUGACUGGGGUGAAGUCGUAACAAGGUAACCGUAGGGGAACCUGCGGUUGGAUCACCU